UACGGAGGAUCCGAGCGUUAUCCGGAUUUAUUGGGUUUAAAGGGUGCGCAGGCGGAAGAUUAAGUCGGCGGUGAAAUUUUGCAGCUCAACUGUAAAAGUGCCAUCGAUACUGGUUUUCUUGAGUGUGGAUGAAGUAGGCGGAAUUUGUGGUGUAGCGGUGAAAUGCAUAGAUAUCACGAGGAACUCCGAUUGCGCAGGCAGCUUACUAGGCCAUAACUGACGCUCAGGCACGAAGGCGUGGGGAGUCAAACAGGAUUAGA
rnacentral:rRNA from 1 species